GAUGAACGCUGGCGGCGUGCUUAACACAUGCAAGUCGAACGAAGCACUUUAUUUGAUUUCCUUCGGGACUGAUUAUUUUGUGACUGAGUGGCGGACGGGUGAGUAACGCGUGGGUAACCUGCCUUGUACAGGGGGAUAACAGUUGGAAACGGCUGCUAAUACCGCAUAAGCGCACAGCAUCGCAUGAUGCAGUGUGAAAAACUCCGGUGGUAUAAGAUGGACCCGCGUUGGAUUAGCUAGUUGGUGAGGUAACGGCCCACCAAGGCGACGAUCCAUAGCCGACCUGAGAGGGUGACCGGCCACAUUGGGACUGAAACACGGCCCAAACUCCUACGGGAGGCAGCAGUGGGGAAUAUUGCACAAUGGGCGAAAGCCUGAUGCAGCGACGCCGCGUGAGCGAAGAAGUAUUUCGGUAUGUAAAGCUCUAUCAGCAGGGAAGAUAAUGACGGUACCUGACGAAGAAGCACCGGCUAAAUACGUG
rnacentral:rRNA from 1 species